rnacentral:rRNA from 1 species
UACGGAGGGUGCAAGCGUUAUCCGGAUUCACUGGGUUUAAAGGGUGUGUAGGCGGAUAUUUAAGUCCGAGGUGAAAUCUCUGAGCUCAACUCAGAAACUGCCUUGGACACUAUUUAUCUUGAAUAUCGUUGAGGUAGGCGGAAUAUGUCAUGUAGCGGUGAAAUGCUUAGAUAUGACAUAGAACACCGAUUGCGAAGGCAGCUUGCUAAACGAUUAUUGACGCUGAGGCACGAAAGCGUGGGGAUCAAACAGG